GAUGAAGAACGUAGCGAAAUGCGAUAAGUAAUGCGAAUUGCAGAAUUCAGUGAAUCAUCGAAUCUUUGAACGCACAUUGCGCCCGCCAGUACUCUGGCGGGCAUGCCUGUCUGAGCGUCAUUUCAACCCUCGCGCCCGGCUUCUGUCGGGGGCGGUGUUGGGGAUCGGCCUCCCGUCUUCCGGGCGGCCGGCCCCUAAAUGGAGUGGCGACCGCGCCGUAGCCUCCUCUGCGUAGUAGUGAAACCCUCGCGGGCGGAGAGCGGUGCGGCCCGCCGUAAAACCCCCAACUCUUCUAAGGUUGACCUCAGAUCAGGUAGGAAUACCCGCUGAACUUAAGCAUAUCAAUAAGCGGAGGA
rnacentral:misc_RNA from 1 species